rnacentral:lncRNA from 1 species
CUGAAAACCACUUUGCUGCUUUACAAGUACUAUUAAUGUUAAAUUAACACACUUAUAGUGCACUAAUUCAUGCUCUAAUUCUCAUUGUUCAUUAAUGAUGUGGAUGUUAAAACCUGUAACUUUCAUUUAACAUUUACUCAUGAUUUCAGUUCUUGAACAAGUGAAAGAAGCCAAAGAGAAAAAAGCUAGAGAGGAGAUAUACAAAAUCAUUCAAGAUAUGAGGGAGAAGAAGGCUGAUGGUGAAGAGGAAGAGAUAACACUACAACAAAUAAACAUAACAGUAGAAAAAGUCAAGAAAAAAAAAGAACAUGAGAAAAAGGAGAUAGAAAAGGCUAAAAGAAAAGAAAAAUCCAAAGAGGACAAGACUCGAGAACCAACAAACAAGGACACCAAGAAAAAACCUGACAAAAAGGUCAAGGUGACUAAAGUGGAUGAGGAACCUCCUCUAAAAAAGAAGAAAUCUGGACCUGAGAAAAAGGUUAAACCAGCAAAGAAAGGUAUUCAACACAUCCUGUUCAUGGACAAUAUAUUUCAAUGUUGUUGUUGUUUUUUGGAAAUAAAAUUUCCCACAAAGUCCACAAACAUUCCUAAAUUUAAUAUAUCGCACAGAAGCCAAAAUUGUGAAACAAAAUGAUGUAUUUUAUGCAUGUCUAUAACAGCCAGCUCACCGCCAACUAUUGUUUCUAUUGUGUCAUAGAUGUUGAGAUGGCCAAGGACAAAAUCAAAGCAGUACCUGUAAAGAAAGAAGCUGAAGUGGCCAAAAAAGAGAUCAAACCAGCACCAUCUAAGAAAGGUAUUGUGUUGUGUGUUCUUGCUUUACUGAGCACACAUUACUGAGAACACUAUCAGUAGAACAUAAAUACAGAUAGAUACAGAUUAAAUAUAAAAUACAACUAUACAAAUAUACAAAUAAGGUAAAAUGUAAAAAAAUAUAUAAAGCAG